CAACCUGGCUGCUCAGGCCACAGCCUAGUGAAAAUUCUGUUCCCACAGGCACUGCUGCAGCUAAAGGAAAACGCAAGAUGUUCCAAACCCCUGAAAGUAGUUACUGAGUUUUCUAUGAGAGCAUAGGAAGACAGCGGAGACCCAAUACAACGAGGAACAGCUACCAGUGAAGAAGAUCCGAUGAGGAACAAGAUGAUGCUGACAUCUAGCUUCCACACAUGUGUACAUGUACAUGUACAUACAUGCCACUUCUCAGAACUCAGAUGCCUUCCCAUGGAUGAGCCUGGCACCAUGGAGAUAAUCCAUCACUUAGCAACACUUCUUUAACGACAAUCUUCUGCCCUGCACUCCUUGGUGCAAUCUCCUGCUCAUCGUUUAUCAAACGUUUCCUGCCUCUGACAGCCCCCUGCCUCAUUCCUCAGCACCUCCUACCUAACAACCUCCUGCAUUCCUCUGCCCCAUCCCAUGUCACGGUCCCCUAUAUAAGCUUGCACGAAAUCCUCAAUA